rnacentral:rRNA from 1 species
AUUGAACGCUGGCGGCAGGCUUAACACAUGCAAGUCGAGCGGGGUGAUGGUGCUUGCACUAUCACUUAGCGGCGGACGGGUGAGUAAUGCUUAGGAAUCUGCCUAUUAGUGGGGGACAACACCUCGAAAGGGAUGCUAAGACCGCAUACGUCCUACGGGAGAAAGCAGGGGAUCACUUGUGACCUUGCGCUAAUAGAUGAGCCUAAGUCGGAUUAGCUAGUUGGUGGGGUAAAGGCGUACCAAGGCGACGACCUGUAGCGGGUCUGAGAGGAUGAUCCGCCACACUGGGACUGAGACACGGCCCAGACUCCUACGGGAGGCAGCAGUGGGGAAUAUUGGACAAUGGGGGGAACCCUGAUCCAGCCAUGCCGCGUGUGUGAAGAAGGCCUUAUGGUUGUAAAGCACUUUAAGCGAGGAGGAGGCUCUUUUGGUUAAUACCCAAGAUGAGUGGACGUUACUCGCAGAAUAAGCACCGGCUAACUCUGUGCCAGCAGCCGCAGUAA